UAGGGAAUCUUCCACAAUGGGCGAAAGCCUGAUGGAGCAACGCCCCGUGGGUGAAGAAGGUCUUCGGAUCGUAAAACCCUGUUGUUAGAGAAGAAAGUGCGUGAGAGUAACUGUUCACGUUUCGACGGUAUCUAACCAGAAAGCCACGGCUAACUACGUGCC
rnacentral:rRNA from 1 species